rnacentral:rRNA from 1 species
CCCCGGAACCAGGCGCCCGCCGGAGGGACCAACCAAACUCUUUCUGUAGUCCCCUCGCGGACGUUAUUUCUUACAGCUCUGAGCAAAAAUUCAAAAUGAAUCAAAACUUUCAACAACGGAUCUCUUGGUUCUGGCAUCGAUGAAGAACGCAGCGAAAUGCGAUAAGUAAUGUGAAUUGCAGAAUUCAGUGAAUCAUCGAAUCUUUGAACGCACAUUGCGCCCGCCAGUAUUCUGGCGGGCAUGCCUGUCCGAGCGUCAUUUCAACCCUCGAACCCCUCCGGGGGGUCGGCGUUGGGGAUCGGGAACCCCUAAGACGGGAUCCCGGCCCCGAAAUACAGUGGCGGUCUCGCCGCAGCCUCUCCUGCGCAGUAGUUUGCACAACUCGCACCGGGAGCGCGGCGCGUCCACGUCCGUAAAACACCCAACUUCUGAAAUGUUGACCUCGGAUCAGGUAGGAAUACCCGCUGAACUUAAGCAUAUCAAUAAGCGGAGGAA